GGAACGGGUGAGUAACGCGUGAGGAACCUGCCUCAAAGAGGGGGACAACAGUUGGAAACGACUGCUAAUACCGCAUAAGCCCACGGCUCGGCAUCGAGCAGAGGGAAAAGGAGUGAUCCGCUUUGAGAUGGCCUCGCGUCCGAUUAGCUAGUUGGUGAGGUAACGGCCCACCAAGGCGACGAUCGGUAGCCGGACUGAGAGGUUGAACGGCCACAUUGGGACUGAGACACGGCCCAG
rnacentral:rRNA from 1 species